GGAAGUAAAAGUCGUAACAAGGUCUCCGUUGGUGUACCAGCGGAGGGAUCAUUACCCGAGUUUACAACUCCCAAACCCACUGUGAACCUUACCUAUCGUUGCUUCGGCGGGACCGCCCCGGCGCCGGCUCAGGCCCGGAACCAGGCGCCCGCCGGAGGCCCGAAACUCUUGUCUUUACAGUUUUCUCCUCUGAUUGAAAAACAAAAUAAAUCAAAACUUUCAACAACGGAUCUCUUGGUUCUGGCAUCGAUGAAGAACGCAGCGAAAUGCGAUAAGUAAUGUGAAUUGCAGAAUUCAGUGAAUCAUCGAAUCUUUGAACGCACAUUGCGCCCGCCAGUAUUCUGGCGGGCAUGCCUGUUCGAGCGUCAUUUCAACCCUCAGGCCCCGCCUGGCGUUGGGGAUCGGCGCGGCGCGAGAGCGCUGCCGGCCCCGAAAUACAGUGGCGGUCUCGCUGUAGUCCUCCUCUGCGUAGUAGCAACACCUCGCACUGGAACGCGGCGCGGCCAAGCCGUUAAACACCCCACUUCUGAAAGUUGACCUCGGAUCAGGUAGGAAUACCCGCUGAACUUAACAUAUUCAAUAAGCGGGAGGGAA
rnacentral:rRNA from 1 species